AUGCUUGCUUCAGCAGCACAUGUACUAAAAUUGCAAUGAUGCAGAGAAGAUUAGCAUGGCCCCUGCUCAAGGAUGACAUGCAAAUUCAUGAUGGGUUCCAUAUUUUU
ensembl:snRNA U6 U6 spliceosomal RNA